rnacentral:misc_RNA from 1 species
AAGUCGUAACAAGGUUUCCGUAGGUGAACCUGCGGAAGGAUCAUUGUCGUGACCCUUAAACAAAACAGACCGUGAACAUGUCAUCCAUGUCGUGCGGGCUUCCGCUCGCGCAAAGGUCCCCGACCUUCUUUACGAGGGGGAGGGACCGCAAAAGAACCCACGGCGCCGAAGGCGUCAAGGAACACUUAUAUUGCAUUGCUAGGGGUUGUGGUUGGCUUGCCGAUCGCACCUCUUGCAGCGAUUAUAUCUUAAUCCACACGACUCUCGGCAACGGAUAUCUCGGCUCUC